rnacentral:rRNA from 1 species
AUACGGAGGAUCCGAGCGUUAUCCGGAUUUAUUGGGUUUAAAGGGUGCGUAGGCGGUUUGCUAAGCGGGAGGUGAAAUGCCGGCGCUCAACGUCGGAAGUGCCUCCCGAACUGGUGGACUUGAAUGACUCUGCCGUGGGAGGAAUGUGUAGUGUAGCGGUGAAAUGCUUAGAGAUUACACAGAACACCGAUUGCGAAGGCAUCUCACGAAGGGUUGAUUGACGCUGAGGCACGAAAGCGUGGGGAUCAAACAGGAUUAGAUACCCUGGUAGUCCACGCAGUAAACGAUGAUGGCUAACCGCUGGGCUUAUCAGUCCAGUGGCCAAGCGAAAGCGAUAAGCCAUCCACCUGGGGAGUACGACCGCAAGGUUGAAACUCAAAGGAAUUGACGGGG